rnacentral:rRNA from 1 species
UGCAACCCGACUCCAUGAAGCUGGAUUCGCUAGUAAUCGCGCAUCAGCCACGGCGCGGUGAAUACGUUCCCGGGCCUUGUACACACCGCCCGUCAAGCCAUGGAAGCCGGGGGUGCCUGAAGUGCGCUGCCGCAAGGAGCGCCCUAGGGUAAAACCGGUGACUGGGGCUAAGUCGUAACAAGGUAAC